GACGAACGCUGGCGGCGUGCUUAACACAUGCAAGUCGAACGGAAAGGCCCUGCUUUUGUGGGGUGCUCGAGUGGCGAACGGGUGAGUAACACGUGAGUAACCUGCCCUUGACUUUGGGAUAACUUCAGGAAACUGGGGCUAAUACCGGAUAGGAGCUCCUGCUGCAUGGUGGGGGUUGGAAAGUUUCGGCGGUUGGGGAUGGACUCGCGGGUUAUCAGCUUGUUGGUGGGGUAGUGGCUUACCAAGGCUUUGACGGGUAGCCGGCCUGAGAGGGUGACCGGCCACAUUGGGACUAAGAUAGGGCCCAGACUGCUACGGGAGGCAGCAGUGGGGAAUAUUGCACAAUGAGCGGAAGCCUGAUGCAGCAACGCCGCGUGCGGGAUGACGGCCUUCGGGUUGUAAACCGCUUUGGACUGUGACGAAGCGUGAGUGACGGUAAUGGGUAAAGAAGCACCGGCUAACUACGUG
rnacentral:rRNA from 1 species